AUUCUUUUAGAUUCGAAGCGGUUAGUGGCGGACUGGUGAGUAACACGUAAGGAACCUGCCUAUUAGAGGGGAAUAACAACGAGAAAUCGUUGCUAAUACCGCAUAAGCUAGUAGUACCGCAUGGUACAGCUAGAAAAGGAGAAAUCCGCUAAUAGAUGAGCUUGCGGCUGAUUAGCUAGUUGGUGUGGUAACGGCAUACCAAGGCAACGAUCAGUAGCCGGGCUGAGAGGGUGAACGGCCACAUUGGGACUGAGACACGGCCCAAACUCC
rnacentral:rRNA from 1 species